rnacentral:lncRNA from 1 species
UCUGAUAAAAGUAUUUCUACGUAUUAUAUUACUAGUUAAGAGUUGGCCCGGGCUCUAAGUAUUUCUACGUAUUAUAUUACUAGUUAAGAGUUGGCCCGUGCUAAGCUCAAGGUGGAUAAGGAAUUUUUUUGAUUAAAAAAGAAUAUCGUGUGGCACAUUAUUAGAAUUUUGCCAAAUCACUUCUUAGUAAACCUCAUCAAAAAUAAUUCGAGUAAACUGAAACAACAACAACAACAACAACAACAAAUCCCAUUUAGUGGGGUUUGGGGAGAUACCCAUAUGGUCAUACCCUUGGAUAGAGAGGCUGUUUCCAAAUAGAAACUCGGCAUCUUUCCCUCCAAGAACUUUCCACCUUGCUCUUGGGGAGACUCGAACUCAUAACCUCUCGGUUGGAAGUGGGGGUUGCUUACCAUCAGAGCAACCCCUCUUGUCUUAAAACUGAAACUACAAAUCAAACUUAAAAUAUAUUCUUCUUGCGAGUCGGAUUCCAAAUUCUCCACCACAUUCCUCUAUGGUUUCUGUAUUGAAAUGAAAGUAAGAGAUAUGGGAAUCCUUGUUUCUCUCCCGUCACAGUGCCAGCAAAGUAUCAUUAAGAUCCACAAACAAGAUCCAGAAGUCCUUACAUUAUGUGCUAAGCUGAAUUGACAAAGCAUAAUUGAGAGGAGAAAGGGAAACCAAAGCACAAAGUGUCGUCUUCAGUCUUCUAUUUUUCGAGGUGACACGGAGCAAACAACUUAAAUAUUUCAUAGUGUAAGAAGUUCAACAGAGAAAGAUAAUCAACCCUAGUAAUGAGACCUCUUCUUUCUCCCCUGGACACGAAAUAAAAAAGCAAAAGGAAAAGAGAUCUAGCAGGAAAAUAUUUAGUGCUCUAAAUGAUCUAAUUAAACCCUACAAUUUUAGAAAACUAAAAUAGAAUUACAGACUACACAUAGAACUUACCAGUGCGACCAUUUAAAAGUAAGGUUAAUCGCAUUCAAGCAAAUCUUAAAAACAUUUAGCAGCAGCCUAAUUAACACAAUAAUGAACUUGCAAUCAUAUAUCUAUUUUCAAGUUUGUAACUAAAUAGAGGCAAUUCAUGGAUGGUUCCCUCCACUGCCAGUCUAAAUUAAUAAGUUGGUCUUGAAUUCAACAAUGAACCAAGCGGAUUUUACCCUAGGGCCUGAGCUCCAUAGUCUCCCUUCAUCAAGCACGCCUAGUCUAUAUUGAUUUAUUAUUUGCUAUAUGAACCUGAUUUUAUCACUCAAAAUUAUCAUUUUUCAGUUAGUGGUGCUCUAUCUUGAGCAUUUCAAUGAAGAAUCUUUACAUAAAAUAAAAGUUACCACUUUUUAAAGCCAAUUAUUCAUAAAAAACUGAAAUAAAUGCUCUAAUCGAUGGUCGAACAUAUACUUAACAUUUACGAACAGACACGCUAACAAGCUUAUAAAAACUUCCACCAUUUCUAAAACACUGUUACAUAAAAUUUUGACAUGUAAUAAAAGUAUAAAACACAAUUGAUGCUUUUGUAAUGUAGCAUGCAGCAUAUACAACAGUACAAUUCUAGAUUCUAAUAUUUACCAAGCCAGUCAAUUGACUGAGAGCAAAAGAAUUGACUUCUUGUACUUUAAGGCAAAGCUUUUUGAGAAAACAUAGGAGUGAACAAAUUCAAAACUAAUAAUGUAUACACUACAAGUAUUUUAAAUACUACUAGUGACAUACUCAUUUCAAUCAAUCAAGAACCAGACAAGAAAAAGGGGAAUCAAAAAAAUAUGUAUUGGAAAGGAAAACAAACAAAUUAAACAAACAAUACGAAUGUGUUUAUAUAGUAGACUUAGUGGGCUUUUGGACAUAAAGAAUUGUGAAAUUUCGGGAAAAAUGUAAAAAACAAAUUCAAGUAAAAAUGAUAUUUGAAAGUUAGACUUGUAUUUGGACAUUGACACAAUUUGAAGCUGUUUUCUAACUUUUCAUUUAGCCCUUUAAUUUUGAUAUUUGAUGCAACUAACAACAACAACAACAACCCAGUAUAAUCUCACUUAGUGGGGUCUGGGGAGGGUAGUGUGCGCAGACCUUACCCCUACCCUUAGGUAGAGAGGCUGUUUCCAAAUAGACCCCCGAUAUCCUCCCUCCAAGAACUUCCCACCUUGCUCUUAGGGAGACUCGAACUCACAACCUCUCGGUUGGGAAGUGGGGGUUGCUUACCAUCAGAACAACCCCUCUUGUCUAAUUAUUCAUAAAAAACUGAAAUAAAUGCUCAUUCUCCAGAAUUUAAAUAGUGAAAAACUUUUAACCUAAUCUUGUGUUCAGAAAGUGCAUACACCAUCAAUAAAAACUCUUCAAUCCCUAGUUAGUUUUGAUCGCUUUUCAAUAUUUAAGAACCUCCGGAAUUCUUUGCAUACACUCUUUUAGUUAUAGUUCCCUAAAAAUAUUUCACCUUCUUGUCAUCUGGAUGACAGAUCUCAUGAAUCCAACAUAUUAUUAAUUGUUAUUCACAGUUGAUGAUUAUGAAACUAAGAUACAGAGCCGAAGUUUCCACUUAUAUAUCUGCAAGCAUUAUAUUUCUUGAACCGAGAGGGUCUCUUGGAAGCAACAAUGGAUAUACUUCAUAAUAUCAACAUAGACAAUAAAAGGGCUUAGAAGACAUCAAAUAGAAGAACAAUAUAACUGUCGAAACAAAAAACUAAAUACAAUUAUAGGUAGAACUUUAAUAACUUUAAACUUCUCCUCUAGCUCUUCGAUUUAUUUUUAACAAGGAUUUAAUUUCAUAAGAAUCAUCUCAAUCAUCUCCUUAUCAUGCCUUCUUCUUUAACAAAAGCUGGCAGGAAGAUAAUGUUUUCUAACAUACAUGCAAGAACUACUUAAAGUAUUAGCAGUAUGAUGGAUGUAUGGAGGGAGAUCGAGCAACUGAAAAUAUAACCCUUUGAUUUCUGUAAAAUGCUUAAGAGUAUCACUAAAGUGGGUGAUAACCUUUUGCUUCAAAGCUGAUAUAUUUUAUGUAGAAUUAUUGUAAUUACUUUUUAGGCUAGAUCUAUCUUUAAUCAGUAAAUGGUUAAUAUAUAUACUUAGUUUUAGCUUGAUGAAUUGAUUUCUCUUCAUCCUACCUAGUAUGGCUAUAUCCAAUCCCUAUUAUGAGGAAACUCACACUAAAGGAUUACGGACUGAGGAGCUUACCCUUCUUGAUAAUGCAAAACCUGGUUAAUUCCUUCUUGUUAGAAGCAAGUAUAUCACAUUUCAUCCUCAAAUUGCUUAUUCGAUUAAAAUCCAUUUCCUUGGCCCUUUUUAUAAAAGAAAGGUAACAAAAGUCAUUGCGGUCUUUUAGAUGCGUAAAAGGAGAAAGAUUAUACUUUGUGUAACAUUCAGAUUUCAUAAUCCUGUUUUGAACAAUAAAUUUUAAGCUAAAAGUAAUUAGGGGUACUUUAUGAGAAGGUUAUCAUCAUAGUUGACCAAUACAUGUUCACAUCUAAUGAAGGAGCAAAUUGCAAUAAUUUGUGGGUAUCUUGUGAUUGUCCUAAACCAAUCCUCAGCACCAUCAUUUGCCCCACCAGAAAUCUAUCUAUUUUAUCAGUGUGCGGCUUCGGAGAAUAAACUUUUACAGCAUUAUAAGUUCUUUUUAUUUCCAUUUUGCUAGUAUUUUUAUGAUUAAAAUGAUUUCCAUCAUAUUGAUCAUGCCUUCCUAAUUCUUGGUCUUCAAACUCUCAAGAUGUAGUUUGUAGUAAAACUAUUACUGUUCAUUUGCAGAGACUAAAUAAUAACAUUCUCCUCAAAAAUUACAUGUGAAAGGAAUUGAGUGAGACUCACUCAUAUAAUACUCAAUGAAGAAGGUAUCACUACAAAAUACAAUACUUCCAAUAUUCCCAUGCUCAAUAUUUAAAGCUAUUUUUUGAACAGUUUACACCGGUGGCAAAUUAAGUUGUUAUUUUUCAUACAGUUCACACUACUGGCAAAUUAAACUGGACAUGGUAUUGAUAUUUGAGUUCAAUUCAGUCACAUCAGAGAAAUGGUGAAACUUUUUAGUAUUUUUUUUCUCAACUUGAUAUGUCUAGCUAUCAGCUCAAAAUCCUAGACAAACAUACAUAUUAAUUAAUUAGGAUGUAAGAUUACUCACAAACCAAAAUUUUUAAUUUCUAAAGAGAGGACUUACAAUGAUUUAAAGCAAGCAAGUUUAUUUCCGUUAAUCACCACAAAAUUUAAAUUUAAUCACAUUUAUGUGGAAUAAGUAUCAAAAAACUUAUCAUACCUCAAGUACUGCCUUCUCUUAGACAGUGAGUAGUAACCAAAUGUGCAAAAAAGCAGAAUUCGAGAAUAGCAAGGAGAGUUAAGAUACCUGGGAGAGUACCUCUUUGACAAUAACUGCGGCACUACCUAUACCACUGCAACAUCAUAUUUUAGAGAGUUAUAGACAUCUCAAACAAAUAGAUAUGUCAAUCCCUAUAGCGUGCAAAAAGGAUAAACAUCUAAACUCAUGACUAUAAGAGAAGCUAUUUUAACACCAUAGCAUCCAUCUUUAUAAGAAUGACAGGAAUAUAGGAAAUUUACCAUAAGCUUUAAAAUAUCUACAACAUACCUACAGUCUAGCUGAACAAAACUUUUUGGAAAGUAACAGUUAACAACUCUAUUGUCCAAGAAUUUUCAGGUUCAAUGAAAACAAACAUGCACAAAUUCUUCUCUUGGAUAGUAAAUUUCAGAAAGCAAAUUUUGUCACUAAAGCACAUUGGAUUAUUGUUCAAGUACACAAGUUAAAUGGAGAACUUGAUGUCAAGAACAAGCAAAAAUAUUACAACACAACCACAAUUAUUCUUGAAUAAUAGCCGCGCAAAAAUCAAAGAACUUGCAGAUCUCCUAAAUGAACGUUCAUUCUUUUCACCUAAAAGGUCUUUUACAGGAAAAAAAAUUUGGAGAAUGACAUUUCUAUUAUUAAUGGGUUAAUGAAAAUACAACAUCACAUUAAGCCAAAGUGCAAGAUGCAGCAAGAAAUAAUUGGCAUAACUUCUCUAUGCUAUCCAAUUUAUAGAAGAGAGAGUAUAAAACUAUAAAUCACCAAAAGAAUGUCAACUUCUUCAAUAUCCAAAAAAAUAAAUAUGACAUCUGAAGUCUAAGAAGAUACUCAAAGUGAAUAACUUUUCUUUCGGGAAUGAAAAAAAGAAAUUACGUCAAAGGCGACUUUCAACAAUACCAUUUUACCAACAUGGACGACUUCUUAUUUGAUCAAUUUUUGUCAUUUUAUAGCUAUUACAUACCAGUUAGACGAUAUUUAUCUUCCACAUGGAUGCACGUGAUGGGUAGAAGCAGUUUUGUAUUUUCAGCAAAGUGUCAACAUGCUAGCGGCAUGUCCAUACUCGCCAUCACGCCAUUAGUUUGCUCUCGACCAUAAUAAAACAAACAGUCCAUAACAAUUGCACAAGCAGAAACGGAGAAAGUAGUAAAAUCAAAGAACGAGCUGAACACUGAAAGCAAGGAAUUGCAAAAGGCGAUAAACCAGCUAGUCAAUUAAUAAGUGUAACAUAUUUUCGCACUAAAUUCUUAAAUUUCUACAUAGAAAGUUAAGAAAUUUACGGGUAACAGAGAACUCUCAAAUUUUAACUCAAUAUCUAACAAUAAAUGAAUCUAUUGGAAGGGAAACUGAAUUGCAGAAAUUUAAUAAUUUGUACCCUCGAAUUCGGAUAAAAUGAAUGUCGUCGGAGAAUACUUGAAGAAGAAAGCGCAAAGCACAGAGAGAGAAGCGAUUUGUUCAAGAAGGGCACAAAGGUAUUGCAUAACUUUUAACUCAAGGGACACGCGUCGUAUUCUUGAACAAGAGGUGUAGUCGACUAAUG